rnacentral:rRNA from 1 species
CUGGGGAAACUACAAGUCUAGGGACCGGGAAGGGCCAAAGAUACUCUAGGGGUAGGGGUGAAAUCCAAUAAUCCUUAGGGGAUCGCCAGUGGCGAAGGCGUUUGGCUAGAACGGGUCCGACGGUGAGGGACGAAAGCUAGGGGAGCGAACGGGAUUAGAUACCCCGGUAGUCCUAGCCGUAAAUGAUGUGGACUAGGUGUUGCAUUCCCCUUGUGGGAAUGCAGUGCCGAAGGGAAGCCGUUAAGUUCACCACCUGGGAAGUACGGUCGCAAGGCCGAAACUUAAAUGGAAUUGACGGGGGAGCACAACAAGGGGUGGAGUCUGCGGUUUAAUUGGAUUCAACGCCGG